CACGUAGGGCGCAAGCGUUGUCCGGAAUUAUUGGGCGUAAAGAGCUCGUAGGCGGUCUGUUGCGUCCGCUGUGAAAACUCGGGGCUUAACCCCGAGCCUGCAGUGGAUACGGGCAGACUAGAGGUAGGUAGGGGAGAAUGGAAUUCCCGGUGUAGCGGUGAAAUGCGCAGAUAUCGUAAGGAAGGCCAGUGGCGAAGGCGAGUCUCUGGACAGUUACUGACGCUGAGGCACGAAGGCCAGGGGAGCAAACGGG
rnacentral:rRNA from 1 species